rnacentral:rRNA from 1 species
CCUACGGGUGGCAGCAGUGGGGAAUAUUGGGCCAUGGGCGCAAGCCUGAUCCAGCAACGCCGCGUGAAUGAAGAAGGCUUUCGGGUUGUAAACUUCUUUUCGCAGGGACGAAGCAGGUUACGGUACCUGAGGAAUAAACUACGGCUAACUACGUGACAGCAGCCGCAGUAAUACGGAGGUGGAAAGCGUUAAGCGGAUUGACUGGGGGAAAAGGGCGGGUAGGCGGGGCGGUAAGUCAGAUGAGAAAUCCACGGGCUUAACCUGUGUACUGCAUCUGAAACUGGAGUGCUUGAGGCCUGGAGAGGCAGGCGGAAUUCCUAGUGUAGCGGUGAAAUGCGUAGAGAUUAGGAGGAACACCAGUGGCGAAGGCGGUCUCCUGGACAGAAACUGACGCUGAGGUGCGAAAGCGUGGGAAGCAAACAGGAUUAGAUACCCCUGUAGUC